rnacentral:rRNA from 1 species
AUACGUGAGCCCCAAGCGUUAUCCGGAAUUAUUGGGCGUAAAGGGUCCGUAGGCGGGCUAAUUAGUCUCUUGUUAAAGCACCGGGCUCAACCCGGGACAUGCAAGGGAAACGGUUAGUCUAGAGGACGUGAGAGGUGUGUGGAACUCAUGGUGUAGGGGUGAAAUCCGUUGAUAUCAUGGGGAACACCAAAUGCGAAGGCAACACACUGGCGCGCUCCUGACGCUCAGGGACGAAACCUAGGGUAGCGAAUGGGAUUAGAUACCCCAGUAGUCC